ACUGGCGGCGUGCUUACACAUGCAAGUCGAGCGGAAAGGCCCUUCGGGGUACUCGAGCGGCGAACGGGUGAGUAACACGUGAGUAACCUGCCCCUGACUCUGGGAUAAGCCUGGGAAACUGGGUCUAAUACCGGAUACGACCAUUUCUCGCAUGGGAUGGUGGUGGAAAGUUUUUUCGGUUGGGGAUGGGCUCGCGGCCUAUCAGCUUGUUGGUGGGGUGAUGGCCUACCAAGGCGACGACGGGUAGCCGGCCUGAGAGGGCGACCGGCCACACUGGGACUGAGACACGGCCCAGACUCCUACGGGAGGCAGCAGUGGGGAAUAUUGCGCAAUGGGCGAAAGCCUGACGCAGCGACGCCGCGUGGGGGAUGACGGCCUUCGGGUUGUAAACCUCUUUCAGCAGGGACGAAGUUGACGUGUACCUGUAGAAGAAGCGCCGGCUAACUACGUGCCAGCAGCCGCGGUAAUACGUAGGGCGCGAGCGUUGUCCGGAAUUAUUGGGCGUAAAGAGCUCGUAGGUGGCUUGUUGCGUCUGCCGUGAAAGCCCGUGGCUUAACUACGGGUCUGCGGUGGAUACGGGCAGGCUAGAGGCUGGUAGGGGCAAGCGGAAUUCCUGGUGUAGCGGUGAAAUGCGCAGAUAUCAGGAGGAACACCGGUGGCGAAGGCGGCUUGCUGGGCCAGUUCUGACGCUGAGGAGCGAAAGCUG
rnacentral:rRNA from 1 species